UGGGAGCUACUUACCCUCUUUUCGCUCUGCUGCUUAACUCGUCUUGACGCUUUGUCAGCUGGGGCUCCCUCUAGCUCGUGGAGACAAAGACAAAGGAGAGCAAGGAGUAUAACCAGAUGAUGUGAGCGAAUGGAGUUGUAUACAGUUAAGCUUCAGCUGGCACUGUCAGUUCCCGCCACACAGAGCUGAACAGCACAGCACUCAAGCGAGUGUAUCAAGAGAAGGGGCCAGCUGUAGGUUCCAGUGCUUCUCCCCCCCCCUUUGUCAGUGGCAGUGAGGGAUAAUCGAUCAAACUGAUUGGUUCUCGCAGUAGGUACCAGAAGAAGUUACAAGGAGAUGGGAUCACCAUCCUUGGCAUAAAGAAGCUGACUACAUCAGUAAAAUCAAAGCUCUCAGCAUUGAAAGAACAGCAAUUGACUGGUGGGUGGAUUGGUCAAUGCGUUCAAGGAUGAAACCACUGCACACCUAGAUAGAACUGUGAGGCUGAAAGAAAUUCAGCUGAUGAGAAAGUGCACAAAUUGACACAAGGAACACCAUCAGUAUGUAUCUGACAGGAGAGAUGUUCAUGCUGUCUGUAAUGAAGUGGUUGACUCUCUUGUUGAAUUCUUGAAUGUUUUGAAGUUAAUGCUGAUCUGUUACUCUGUAUGAAGUUUUUUGCCACUCUACAACCUUCAGUAAACCUGGAAGAAGUUCACAGGGUUCAGUCCUUCUAUCUGACAGAAGAUACUUCAGCUUGACAACGUAAGUGAUGUUGUCAUUGUCCCAUUUGGUUCAUUUUCUUAUCUGAUGCAUACAGAAACAUCACAGUACUCAUGGUACAUCUUCUGGCAGCUAAACCUCGCAGUGCUAAUGCUGAACUUUUCAUUAGCACAAGUAUCACCGUGAAGUCUACCAACAGAAACAGACUCUCAGUUGAUUCAGAAAAUGAAUACUUCUAAAUCUGUCACUAUACACCACCAUUCACUGAAUGGGAUCCUAGGGCAUCAGUGCUCCUUUGGAUUAAAAAAAUGAGAGCACAGAACCAAAGACAUGGAUGAAGCAAGAGAGCAUAUGUGGUUUAAGGGAAUGGUUUCGGAGGCUAGCAAGCAAAACUGUUCCCAACAACCAUUCACAAAUGGUGACAAUCUGAUCAUCUCAAAGCAAAAGAAAUUUUAACUUGCUUAGCAUAAUGCGAGAGGAGGCACCAUGGCAUAACUCUGUAAUCUUCUGCUCUGUGUUUGUUUUUGUACUGGCACGUAACAGUUGUAUACCUGUGUUAGGGAUGGAGUCCAUUGGGUGGUGCCACUUCAACAGCAUUCUGUCAACAGGCCAUAUUAAUUCAUUGUCCACUAGCUGCUGCCUUUACCGAUCCACUUUUCCCCUCACAAAAAUAUCGAUAUAUAAAUACUGAUAUUUUGAAAGAAAAUAUUGAUUAUUUGAAGAAAAUAUGGAUAAAAGAAAGGAAAGCAGCAUUACUGCUUCUUUCUCCUUUGCUGUGACUGAGAUUGGUCAGUUUUCCCAUUAGCAAGCAGAGAGAGACUGGCUAUUUUCCUUUGGGAAAGGAAAAGAGGAAAGCAGCUUUCAGUGCCCCCCCACCUCCUCCUCGGCAACCCUAGAAUCCUUAACAUGGGUGAGACUUGGUUUGUUUCCUCCUGCUUGGAGCUUAGAUUAUUGGGGUGUGUGGCAGAGAGGGAGGGAGAGGGAGAGAGAGAGAUCUGUACUGCUAUGCUGUGGGUAAAAUCAAUAAAAGAAAAUAUAUUUGAGGGUAUAUUCAAAGGGAAAAAUGCAGAGUUGGGGGAAAGCCACUGAAGUUCAGAGCAAACAGGACCACUCUGCAAAGAUGGAGAAUAUGCAGGCCAUUUAAAAAUCUGGUGCUAAAUCCAAAUUCAGCAAAAAUUCUCACCCAUCCCUAACCCAUGUAUACUGUUUAACUAGAGUUCAGUAUGAGUCAAUAAAUGCCUUUGACUAGACAA